rnacentral:rRNA from 1 species
UACGUAGGGUGCGAGCGUUAAUCGGAAUUACUGGGCGUAAAGCGUGCGCAGGCGGUUUUGUAAGCCAGAUGUGAAAUCCCCGGGCUUAACCUGGGAAUGGCAUUUGGGACUGCAAGGCUCGAGUGCGGCAGAGGAGACUGGAAUUCCUGGUGUAGCAGUGAAAUGCGUAGAUAUCAGGAGGAACACCGAUGGCGAAGGCAGGUCUCUGGGCUGACACUGACGCUCAUGCACGAAAGCGUGGGGAUCAAACAGG